AUACGGAGGAUGCGAGCGUUAUCCGGAUUUAUUGGGUUUAAAGGGAGCGUAGGUGGGAUAUUAAGUCAGCUGUGAAAGUUUGGGGCUCAACCUUAAAAUUGCAGUUGAUACUGGUUUCCUUGAGUACGGUACAGGUGGGCGGAAUUCGUGGUGUAGCGGUGAAAUGCUUAGAUAUCACGAAGAACUCCGAUCGCGAAGGCAGCUCACCGGGCCGGAACUGACACUGAUGCUCGAAAGUGCGGGUAUCAAACAGGAUUAGAUACCCUGGUAGUCCACACAGUAAACGAUGAAUACUCGCUGUUUGCGAUAUACAGUAAGCGGCCAAGCGAAAGCAUUAAGUAUUCCACCUGGGGAGUACGCCGGCAACGGUGAAACUCAAAUGAAUUGACGGGG
rnacentral:rRNA from 1 species